AGCUCUGUAGUGAAAUUCAUGUUGAGUUGCAAGCUCAUCGAUGUGCAUUGGAGAUGCGCCGGAGCUU
rnacentral:tRNA from 1 species